GCAUUGCGGAUUCAAUGGUAGAAUUCUCGCCUCCCAUGAGGGAGACCUGGGUUCAAUUCCCAGCCAAUGCA
rnacentral:tRNA from 1 species